UGUGGUGAAAAUGGUUAACAUGCUCAGCUGCUGACUGAAAGGCUGGUGGUUCGAGUCCACCCA
rnacentral:tRNA from 1 species